GCACUGGUUACUUCCCCCGUCCUCUCAGCUCUGGGAAGGGUGGGGUGGUCAUGAAGUCCUGAGAGAGCAGAGGGACACACCAACUUCUCUUGUUGGUUCCCUCAACCCUGCCCAUACCUAUGGGUAAUCAGAGAUGGAUUCAGUCUCCAGUUAGGAUCCUCAUCAAGGUAUUUGUAUGGGGGAUUCCAUGCAGAUGGUGUAUAGAGAGAAGAUAGACACAAGGGAUCUUCAUAGCCAAGGACUGGAUUUGAACAAGUCAGUCUCCAGCUAUGUUUUAGACACUGAGGACUGUGCCCGUCAUCCCUUAGAGCUUCUCUCUGGGCCACUGGCUCGAAGGGCACAUCUCAGGGAAAAAGAACCCAGAAUUCACAACGGAACAUCAACAUAUCCAAAAGACAAGUUUCAAUGAACAGAUUCUCAGCAAAAGGACUCUAAGGAUGCAGAGGAAGGGAAGUCACCCAAUCUGGGAAGGAGGUUUUUAUUAAGUAUAAAAACAGGUCAUCCACACAUAGCAAUGUGCUUUUCUAGAGAAAACCAUCCUACUCACCGAGAGCCAGGAUUGAGUGGGGCUUCUGCUGUGUCUCUAGAUGAUGCCUUAAGAAACACCCACUCCCCGUGAGGGAUGUUACCAAGAAGUCAAGAACCACCAGUAACUUUGAAAAGUCCAGAUUACUCAGUCUCGGGUAUGUGUAUCAGCAAUGUGAAAACGGACUAGUACAUCUCUAGAGGCACAUGCCAUGUGGUCCAGCCAUAAUUAUUUGUUGUCACAACUAAGUUUCCUUUCUAUAUGAAAAGAUUAUA
rnacentral:lncRNA from 1 species